GAGCUUGCUUUCUUUGCUGGCGACCGGCGCACGGGUGAGUAACACGUAUCCAACCUACCCUUUACUCGGGGAUAGCCUUUCGAAAGAAAGAUUAAUACCCGAUAGCAUAAUGAUUCCGCAUGGUUUCAUUAUUAAAGGAUUCCGGUAAAGGAUGGGGAUGCGUUCCAUUAGGUUGUUGGUGGGGUAACGGCCCACCAAGCCUUCGAUGGAUAGGGGUUCUGAGAGGAGGGUCCCCCACAUUGGAACUGAGACACGGUCCAAACUCCUACGGGAGGCAGCAUG
rnacentral:rRNA from 1 species